rnacentral:rRNA from 1 species
UAGGGAAUCUUCCACAAUGGACGCAAGUCUGAUGGAGCAACGCCGCGUGAGUGAAGAAGGUUUUCGGACCGUAAAGCUCUGUUGUUGGUGAAGAAGGAUAGAGGUAGUAACUGGCCUUUAUUUGACGGUAAUCAACCAGAAAGUCACGGCUAACUACGUGCCAGCAGCCGCGGUAAUCGUAGGUGGCAAGCGUUGUCCGGAUUUAUUGGGCGUAAAGCGAGCGCAGGCGGAAGAAUAAGUCUGAUGUGAAAGCCCUCGGCUUAACCGAGGAAUUGCAUCGGAAACUGUUUUCUUGAGUGCAGAAGAGGAGAGUAGAACUCCAUGUGUAGCGGUGGAAUGCGUAGAUAUAUGGAAGAAUACCAGUGGCGAAGGCGGCUCUCUGGUCUGCAACUGACGCUGAGGCUCGAAAGCAUGGGUAGCGAACAGGAUUAGAUACCCUGGUAGUCCAUGCCGUAAACGAUGAGUG